GGAAAGAUGCCGGAGUGGUCGAUCGGGACGGUCUCGAAAACCGUUGUACGCGUAAGCGUACCCAGGGUUCGAAUCCCUGUCUUUCCG
rnacentral:tRNA from 1 species